UGGGGAAUUUUGGACAAUGGGCGAAAGCCUGAUCCAGCAAUGCCGCGUGCAGGAAGAAGGCCUUCGGGUUGUAAACUGCUUUUGUACGGAACGAAAAGGCUCUUUCUAAUAAAGAGGGCCCAUGACGGUACCGUAAGAAUAAGCACCGGCUAACUACGUGCCAGCAGCCGCGGUAAUACGUAGGGUGCGAGCGUUAAUCGGAAUUACUGGGCGUAAAGCGUGCGCAGGCGGUUCUAUAAGACAGAUGUGAAAUCCCCGGGCUCAACCUGGGAAUGGCAUUUGUGACUGUAGAGCUAGAGUACGGUAGAGGGGGAUGGAAUUCCGCGUGUAGCAGUGAAAUGCGUAGAUAUGCGGAGGAACACCGAUGGCGAAGGCAAUCCCCCUGGACCUGUACUGACGCUCAUGCACGAAAGCGUGGGGAGCAAACAGGAUUAGAUACCCAGGUAGUCCCUGAGCGGGCUGGCAAGGCGCAU
rnacentral:rRNA from 1 species